CAUGCAGUCGAACGGUGAAGCAGAGCUUGCUCUGUGGAUCAGUGGCGAACGGGUGAGUAACACGUGAGCAACCUGCCCCUGACUCUGGGAUAAGCGCUGGAAACGGCGUCUAAUACUGGAUAUGUGACGUGACCGCAUGGUCUGCGUCUGGAAAGAAUUUCGGUUGGGGAUGGGCUCGCGGCCUAUCAGCUUGUUGGUGAGGUAAUGGCUCACCAAGGCGUCGACGGGUAGCCGGCCUGAGAGGGUGACCGGCCACACUGGGACUGAGACACGGCCCAGACUCCUACGGGAGGCAGCAGUGGGGAAUAUUGCACAAUGGGCGAAAGCCUGAUGCAGCAACGCCGCGUGAGGGAUGACGGCCUUCGGGUUGUAAACCUCUUUUAGCAGGGAAGAAGCGAAAGUGACGGUACCUGCAGAAAAAGCGCCGGCUAACUACGUGCCAGCAGCCGCGGUAAUACGUAKGGCGCAAGCGUUAUCCGGAAUUAUUGGGCGUAAAGAGCUCGUAGGCGGUUUGUCGCGUCUGCUGUGAAAUCCGGAGGCUCAACCUCCGGCCUGCAGUGGGUACGGGCAGACUAGAGUGCGGUAGGGGAGAUUGGAAUUCCUGGUGUAGCGGUGGAAUGCGCAGAUAUCAGGAGGAACACCGAUGGCGAAGGCAGAUCUCUGGGCCGUAACUGACGCUGAGGAGCGAAAGGGUGGGGAGCAAACAGGCUUAGAUACCCUGGUAGUCCACCCCGUAAACGUUGGGAACUAGUUGUGGGGUCCAUUCCACGGAUUCCGUGACGCAGCUAACGCAUUAAGUUCCCCGCCUGGGGAGUACGGCCGCAAGGCUAAAACUCAAAGGAAUUGACGGGGACCCGCACAAGCGGCGGAGCAUGCGGAUUAAUUCGAUGCAACGCGAAGAACCUUACCAAGGCUUGACAUAUACGAGAACGGGCCAGAAAUGGUCAACUCUUUGGACACUCGUAAACAGGUGGUGCAUGGUUGUCGUCAGCUCGUGUCGUGAGAUGUUGGGUUAAGUCCCGCAACGAGCGCAACCCUCGUUCUUUGUUGCCAGCACGUAAUGGUGGGAACUCAUGGGAUACUGCCGGGGUCAACUCGGAGGAAGGUGGGGAUGACGUCAAAUCAUCAUGCCCCUUAUGUCUUGGGCUUCACGCAUGCUACAAUGGCCGGUACAAAGGGCUGCAAUACCGCGAGGUGGAGCGAAUCCCAAAAAGCCGGUCCCAGUUCGGAUUGAGGUCUGCAACUCGACCUCAUGAAGUCGGAGUCGCUAGUAAUCGCAGAUCAGCAACG
rnacentral:rRNA from 1 species